AUACGUAGGGGGCGAGCGUUAUCCGGAAUUAUUGGGUGUAAAGGGCGCGUAGACGGAUUAGUAAGUUAGUUGUGAAAUCCCUGAGCUUAACUCAGGAACUGCAACUAAAACUACUAACCUUGAGUGCAGGAGAGGAAAGUGGAAUUUCUAGUGUAGCGGUGAAAUGCGUAAAUAUUAGGAGGAACACCAGUGGCGAAGGCGACUUUCUGGACUGUAACUGACGUUGAGGCGCGAAAGUGUGGGGAGCAAACAGGAUUAGAUACCCUGGUAGUCCACACCGUAAACGAUGGAUACUAGGUGUAGGGGGGAUCGAACCCUUCUGUGCCGGCGUUAACACAAUAAGUAUCCCACCUGAGUAGUACGACCGCAAGGUUAAA
rnacentral:rRNA from 1 species